GGUGUGGGGUCUGUCCUAAUUUACCUAAUUUACCCAAGUGGGCUCAGGUGUACACUCAGCUUCUCAGAGCGGCCAUUGUCCACUGCAGGCAGGAGGUGUGGGUGCCAUGUGAAGGGUCCCCAGCAUGGGCCUAUUGUGCUCACAAGUGAAGGGAUUGCCUGGGUAACACUGUCCCCUUGGUGGGUGCCUGAGGGUGGCUCUGCACAAGUCUGCAGGUUGAGACCUUGAGGACCUCUGCCUUCUCCUGACCUGGCUGGCUACAUCCAUGCAGGAUUUGGCCUUGGAAAGGCACAAGUGUACAGCCCUGUUCAUCUCACUGGUGCAAAUGGUCCAGGAAAUUCAAGAACAUCUCAGUGCAGAGGGGCUUGAUAAGAUAUUUUCAGCUGGCAUAAUUCCGGAUCAUUCUCAUGUCCCAGUGUAAUGACGGCUGUUAAACUUUUGGAGCAAGUACUACAAGAGUUGGUACAGUGGGAUUGCAAGUAUUCCUGGGGCUCAGUUUAGAAGAUAGCACCUGGGGUGUCAUCUCUGAGCACCUCUUGGGUAGACCUGGAGGCAUAAUGGAAGAAACACUGUGCAUUUUAUUCUGAAAAUAUCAUUAUACUUUUGGAGCAGCCUGCUUAACAUUGAGUAUCUGGAAAGAAACAAGAAAAAAAGAAAUACUCAUUAAAUAUGUAAUAAAAUUCACACAAAUUCUUUUUUUUCCUUUUCCCUCUCCUCCUUUGUGUUUUUAAGAGGGUUAAAGUCAA